rnacentral:rRNA from 1 species
CCUACGGGUGGCUGCAGUGAGGAAUAUUGGUCAAUGGACGAGAGUCUGAACCAGCCAAGUAGCGUGAAGGAUGACGGCCCUAUGGGUUGUAAACUUCUUUUAUAUGGGAAUAAAAUGUUCCACGUGUAGGAUUUUGUAUGUACCAUAUGAAUAAGGAUCGGCUAACUCCGUGCCAGCAGCCGCGGUAAUACGGAGGAUUCGAGCGUUAUCCGGAUUUAUUGGGUUUAAAGGGUGCGUAGGUGGUUUGUUAAGUCAGUUGUGAAAGUUUGCGGCUCAACCGUAGAAUUGCAGUUGAAACUGGCAGUCUUGAGUAUAGUAGAGGUAGGCGGAAUGCGUGGUGUAGCGGUGAAAUGCUUAGAUAUCACACAGAACUCCGAUUGCGAAGGCAGCUUACUGGACUGCAACUGACACUGAGGCUCGAAAGUGUGGGUAUCAAACAGGAUUAGAUACCCGUGUAGUC